UCCUAGGAUAGCUCAGUUGGAAAGAGCAUGAGACGCUUAAUCUCAGGGCUGCAGGUUUGAGCCCCACAUUGGGCA
rnacentral:tRNA from 1 species